rnacentral:rRNA from 1 species
UACGAAGGGGGCUAUCGUUGCUCGGAAUCACUGGGCGUAAAGGGCGCGUAGGCGGCGUUUUAAGUCGGGGGUGAAAGCCUGUGGCUCAACCACAGAAUGGCCUUCGAUACUGGGACGCUUGAGUAUGGUAGAGGUUGGUGGAACUGCGAGUGUAGAGGUGAAAUUCGUAGAUAUUCGCAAGAACACCGGUGGCGAAGGCGGCCAACUGGACCAUUACUGACGCUGAGGCGCGAAAGCGUGGGGAGCAAACAGG